AUACGGAGGAUCCGAGCGUUAUCCGGAUUUAUUGGGUUUAAAGGGAGCGUAGGUGGAUUGUUAAGUCAGUUGUGAAAGUUUGCGGCUCAACCGUAAAAUUGCAGUUGAAACUGGCAGUCUUGAGUACAGUAGAGGUGGGCGGAAUUCGUGGUGUAGCGGUGAAAUGCUUAGAUAUCACGAAGAACUCCGAUUGCGAAGGCAGCUCACUAGACUGUUACUGACACUGAUGCUCGAAAGUGUGGGUAUCAAACAGGAUUAGAUACCCUGGUAGUCCACACAGUAAACGAUGAAUACUCGCUGUUUGCGAUAUACAGUAAGCGGCCAAGCGAAAGCAUUAAGUAUUCCACCUGGGGAGUACGCCGGCAACGGUGAUACUCAAAUGAAUUGACGGGG
rnacentral:rRNA from 1 species